rnacentral:lncRNA from 1 species
ACAUAUUCCUUGGACUUUAUCGUUUAAGCAUAUAACAUUUAUAUGAGACGGCUCAAACAAUAAUGUAUGCCCCUUAUAUGUAAAACUAGAUUAGUUUAACAUGUGAAAUGUCCGUAAAGUAUCAUCACAUGAUUGGCUUUAGGGCACAUUUCCAACAAAACAUUCAUGGAGCUAUUAUGAGUUUUCAUGGUGUUCUUCAAUGUUCUUGAAGUUCUUGCCAAGAACAAAAAGUUUUGAAGUUUUGAUUCAAAAGUUUUAUGUUUUUCAUAAAGUUUUGGUUUAAUUUUGAUGGGUGGUAGUUAUUGGUGAAGCAUUAAUAUUGGCUUUAAUGUUAGACAAAUAUCUUUAAUGUUUAAUAUAUUUCUUACAACCUAUCUAUAUCACCUUUAUAUCUCACCUAAUAAAAUCAACUUGCAUAAAACCCUUUCACACUCCUUUACUACUCUAAAACCGGCCACCCCCUAGUGGGGGUACUUUUGGGGCCUUUUAUGCAAUUACAUAAAGUUUUGAUACUUUUGUGUAUUUGCACUUUGGCCCAAAAGUUUACGUUUUUACGUUAAGGCCCAAAAACUCUAAAGGACGAAUUGUUUUAUCCUUUAAUGAUGUUUUUACAUUAUUAAACUUUUGGGUUCUAGUUGUAAUUACAUGAAGUUGUGGACUUUUUGUGUUUUUCAAAGUGACCCCAAAAGUUUAUGUU